CGAGAGAUACAGAAAAGAAAGAGUGAGACAGAGAGAGAGAGAGAGAGAGAGCAAGAGAAAUAUGGUGCCCUAUUGUAGGAGUGCCGUUGUUAACUUCGAACGUUCGCUAAAUGAAUGGUUGUAAACCGAGGACUGCCUGAAUGAGCCAUUCCUUACUUAGGCUGCUGGAGUCGGAAAGGUGUCCCAAACAUGGAGGAAAGGUUUGAAGCAAUGGCGUUUUUAUUUCUUUUCUUUUUUUCCUCGUAGGGAGCCUUAAAAAGAAGGACGUUUCUUUACCCAUGAAAGAACAUUAAUACGUCAAAAGCCUUGAGCAAGUAUUACAGGCGGAAGAAUAACUUGCGAGACCUAGUUUAAUGCUUGGUUUGAAUAGGAAAUGAUGGAUAGUGAAAUUUCUGAACUUAGUGGAAACUUAACUUUCUGAACUUUAAAAAAAUAAAAUAAAAAUUGAAUCGCUGAUUUGGCUAUAACAAAAAAACUUCACAAGCAGCACCUUUCCAGGAUUUUAAUGCGGAUGUUCCUUUUUGGAUGUAAAAGAAUGUUUAAAAAAACUCUCAUCCAGAAAUUUCUUGAAGAAGAAUCUGAGACAAUAAAAUGAAAGAUGUAAAGGAAAGAUCUGAAAUGGUUUCAAUGCUACUUCGCAAUGAUAAAGCUGCAUUUGACAUUUUUUUGGAAUUAGGAUAUCGCACAGAUGUUUCUCAAGACGCAGGAUGGGUUUUAAGCAAAAUAAGAAAUGUAAGAGUUAAGAUUUGGGGAGUGAGAGAUAUAGCCAAUAAUUGAAAAGUCGAAAGAGACAAUUAGAGAGAGAAGAGAUGUAUAUGAUAACCCAAUGUAAAACAAAAACUAUCAGGAUGACUAUAGGGAACUCUGCAUAGAAUUCUAUCAAUAAAUAAUCUGAGUAAAUAAGUAAGAAAGCAGAAGUUUUCUCAGAAAGGAAGUAGAAAUAACAAAGAAAGAGAUUUCCUCCUAGAUUUUCCAACAAUGAAAUUUAUACAAAUGACGAAGACCUGUAAUUUAAAACAAGGUGGAAUGUAAAUAAAACCAUUCAUAUUUUUUA